AAGGACUCGUUAGAAUAUUAUCACAAAACUAGUCAUCUUGUGUUAUUCUGUGCCCUGAGACCAAUAAAUGGACCAUGUGUUUGAUAGAUGAGUCUAGUUAUUUCGUUAUUUCACUUUAAAGUCUCCAAUCGUAGCAGGUUUUGAGUGCAAUUGGUUGUUGUCUUGGUGAAUCAAAGUUUCAGGUGGAUCACAACUUCAGCUCUGGACUCAGUAAUUGGUCAGUACUUGCCUCCUCCCCAUUGGACACUCACAACAUGAGCUUACAUUCAGAUGUUGCAGAAGACGUCCAAAUUGUCAAUCUGUAUCAACACUUCUCGGAUCACAGGAAUACUUAUUCAAAAAAAGGUCACCAAUUAAAGCCCCUGUUCUCCUGCUUGCUCAUUGAAAUUCAGCCUUGCAGCCUUGGACAUUGGGGAACUACAAAGGCACAGACUAUUUUCUUUACCCUGUACUGCUUUGAGAAGGACAUUUAUAAAUAAAAAUGAAUAAAAUAUAUGGAGUCCCUAUUUGAUAGAAGCAGAUGACCAAGGUUGAGGUCAGUCAUGGGUUUCCAGAGUGGAUCCUAAGAGACAACAUGUCAAGGGAAGAUAGUCCCUUCACCUCCCUCCCUCUCUGUCUAUCUCUCCAAUGCUGACAGGCUGUCACCCGUAUCUGAUCCGGGGAUUAGAGGCACUGGAGUGGUAAAUGUGUCUCUGUGAGAGGACUUACAU